rnacentral:rRNA from 1 species
CUCCACCCGUUGUGGUGCUCCCCCGCCAAUUCCUUUAAGUUUCAGCCUUGCGGCCGUACUUCCCAGGUGGCUCGCUUCACGGCUUCCCUACGGCACCGACAACGGUCGCACCGUGGCCGACACCUAGCGAGUAUCGUUUACGGCUAGGACUACCCGGGUAUCUAAUCCGGUUCGUGCCCCUAGCUUUCGUCCCUUGCCGUCAGGUCCGUUCUGGUGAGACGCCUUCGCCACUGGUGGUCCUUCAAGGAUUACAAGAUUUCACCCCUACCCCUGAAGUACCUCUCACCUCUCCCGGCCUCGAGCCAGACAGUAUCUCCUGAAAGCCUGACAGUUAAGCUGCCAGAUUUCUCAAGAGACUUAUCCGGCCGGCUACAGACCCUUUAGACCCAAUAAUAACGGUUACCACUCGAGCCGCCGGUGUUACCGCGGCGGCUGGCACCGGUCUUGCCCGGCCCUUGCUAUGAAAUGCUUUUUAGGCAUCUCGACAGCCAGAUUUGUAACCUGGCACUCGAGGUUCCCUUAUCGCUGUUGCCAGCAUUGUAAAGUUUUCGCGCCUGCUGCACCCCGUAGGGCCUGGAUUCUUGUCUCAAAAUCCAUCUCCGGGCUCUUGCUCUCACAACCCGUACCCGUCGUAGGCUAGUAGGUAC